AAAAAAUCGAAAAUUGGACGUUUGAAACCCACAUUUAAAUUUCCAAGACUAACAACUAUAUUCACCAACUUUAAUAUCCGGUAAUACAAGAGAUUAAAUGCAUGUAUCAGUAUCAGAUCUUAUGAAUAAGAUGUUGUUGCCGAACAACAUUAACCUUCAGAAACACCAUCCGUCUGAAUGGAAAAUUGUUUGAAAUAACCUUUCACGCCGCUUUUGAUAGGAAAGGCUUUUUUUGUCCUCUG
rnacentral:lncRNA from 1 species